UACGUAGGGUGCAAGCGUUAAUCGGAAUUACUGGGCGUAAAGCGUGCGCAGGCGGUUUUGUAAGUUUGUCGUGAAAGCCCCGGGCUCAACCUGGGAAUUGCGAUGAAGACUGCAAGGCUUGAAUCUGGCAGAGGGGGGUAGAAUUCCACGUGUAGCAGUGAAAUGCGUAGAGAUGAUGGAGGAACACCGAUGGCGAAGGCAGCCCCCUGGGAUAACACGUGACGCUCAUGCACGAAAGCGUGGGGAGCAAACAGG
rnacentral:rRNA from 1 species